AUGAAGAACGCAGCGAAAUGCGAUACGUAAUGUGAAUUGCAGAAUUCAGUGAAUCAUCGAAUCUUUGAACGCAUAUUGCGCUCUCUGGUAUUCCGGAGAGCAUGCUUGUUUGAGUAUCAGUAAACACCUCAACUUCCAUAUCUUUUUUGAAAUGGGAGUUGGACUUGAGUGAUCCCAACGCUUUUCCUCACCGAAAAGUGGCGGGUUACUUGAAAUGCAGGUGCAGCUGGACUUUUCUCUGAGCUAUAAGCAUAUCUAUUUAGUCUGCCUAAAAACAGAUUAUUACCUUUGCUGCAGCUAACAUAAAGGAGAUUAGUUCUUGUGCUGACUGAUGCAGGAUUCACAAAGACAGGCUUCGGCCGACUUUGUAAACUCGAUCUCAAAUCAAGUAAGACUACCCGCUGAACUUAAGCAUAUCAAUAAGCGGAGGA
rnacentral:misc_RNA from 1 species